ensembl:lncRNA
GAGAGAUAGAGACAGAGAGAGACAGGGAGAGAGAGAGAGAGACAGAGAGAGAGAGAGAGAGAGAGACAGAGAGACAGAGAGAGAGAGAGAGAGAGACAGAGAUAGAGACAGAUAGACAGAGAGAGAGAGAUAGAGACAGAGAGAGAGAGAGAGACAGGGAGAGAGAGAGAGAGAGACAGGAGAGAGAGAGAGAGAGAGAGAGAGAGAGAGAGAGAGAGAGAGAGAGAGAGAGAGAGAGAGAGAGAGAGAGAGAGAGAUAGAGACAGAGACAGAGAUAGAGAGAGUCCUUUACUCUAAGGCUGUUUACUCAGAGGUUGUUUACUCUGAGGUCCUUUACUCUAAGGCUCUUUACUCUGAGGUCCUUUACUCUGAUGUCCUUUACUCUGAGGUCGUUUACUCUGAGGUUCUUCACUCUGAGGCUGUUCACUCUGAUGUCCUUUACUCUGAUGUCCUUUACUCUGAGGCUGUUUACUCUGAGGCUGUUUACUCUGAGGUCCUUUACUCUGAGGCUGUUUACUCUAAGGUCCUUUCUCUUAUUCUCAGAGAGAUGUCUCUGCAGCCCUAUCCUUUCUGUUCUCAUUCUUCUCCUUCUCCCCUCCCUCCCCUUUCUCCAG